UAACACGUGGGCAACCUGCCUGUAAGUUGGGGAUAACUCCGGGAAACCGGGGCUAAUACCGAAUGAUAAAGUGUGGCGCAUGCCACGCUUUUGAAAGAUGGUUUCGGCUAUCGCUUACAGAUGGGCCCGCGGUGCAUUAGCUAGUUGGUAGGGUAAUGGCCUACCAAGGCAACGAUGCAUAGCCGACCUGAGAGGGUGAUCGGCCACACUGGGACUGAGACACGGCCCAGACUCCUACGGGAGGCAGCAGUAGGGAAUCUUCCGCAAUGGACGAAAGUCUGACGGAGCAACGCCGCGUGUAUGAAGAAGGUUUUCGGAUCGUAAAGUACUGUUGUUAGAGAAGAACAAGGAUAAGAGUAACUGCUUGUCCCUUGACGGUAUCUAACCAGAAAGCCACGGCUAACUACGUGCCAGCAGCCGCGGUAAUACGUAGGUGGCAAGCGUUGUCCGGAUUUAUUGGGCGUAAAGCGCGCGCAGGCGGUCUUUUAAGUCUGAUGUGAAAGCCCCCGGCUUAACCGGGGAGGGUCAUUGGAAACUGGAAGACUGGAGUGCAGAAGAGGAGAGUGGAAUUCCACGUGUAGCGGUGAAAUGCGUAGAUAUGUGGAGGAACACCAGUGGCGAAGGCGACUCUCUGGUCUGUAACUGACGCUGAGGCGCGAAAGCGUGGGGAGCAAAC
rnacentral:rRNA from 1 species